AUACCUGUAAGAAUGAUAACUUUUUUUGUGCUUGCUGUUUCACUAUAAUAUUGAGGCCAAAUGACCAGGAAGCACCAUUAACGUUAUAUUUAGUGAAAUUCUACACAAGGUUUAGUUGACCUAGGAUGGUUUGGGCUGGAAGUCUCUGCGUGGCUAGGCUCUGUACUUAGAGAUUGGAACCAGGUCUUUAUUUGUUUAUUCUGGAACCCAAACAGGGACAGUGACUGAUAUAUCAUAAAAGCCUAAGAAGUAAGCCAAAACAUGCAAGCACACUGAAGAUCUCUUUUCUGGUCAAUGUGUUGUACUUGUCAAAGCAAGUCUUAAAUUCAAGCCCAGUUUCAGUAGAAAUCCAAGCAACAGAAGUUAGAUGUGGACGUUGCAGCCAGUAGAUGUUGCUGUUGAACAAUGUGACAGAGAACCACCUGCCAGGAGUGGGAAUAACAGAUUCGCACUUUGAUUUUAAUAGAUAUGAGGAUAUUCACGAGUCCUCCCUCCAGAAAUGUCAGCCUUAGAGAUUUAAGGGUGUGAUAGUAAGAUUAUGGAGAAAAAGUCCAGGU
rnacentral:lncRNA from 1 species